rnacentral:rRNA from 1 species
GACGAACGCUGGCGGCGUGCUUAACACAUGCAAGUCGAGCGGGGUCCAACCUGUGGCAACACAGGGGAAGACCUAGCGGCGAACGGGUGAGUAACACGUGAGCAACCUGCCCCGAAGACUGGGAUAACACCGGGAAACCGGUGCUAAUACCGGAUACCCUCUCUGAGUCGCAUGGCUCGGAGAGGAAAUGGAUUCCGCUUCGGGAGGGGCUCGCGGCCUAUCAGCUUGUUGGUGGGGUAACGGCCUACCAAGGCUCCGACGGGUAGCUGGUCUGAGA